rnacentral:lncRNA from 1 species
UUAUUGUUGAGGAUUUCAGAGAAAGUUUCUCCAUCAUGCUGGAGACACAUUUCUCCUGCAAUGUGCUUGCAAAUCUUUUUAAGUUCCAAAGAAGAAAGGAAUUACUCAGUGAUAUAGGAUAAUUUUAUGACUGAUGCAUCAUCAACUUUCUUGUUAAUGGUAAGAGAGUCAUAAAUGUUUAUAGCACACAGAAGAUUCUUGCUGUUCACCAACUUAAGAUGUGCAGUUCUGAAAAUAUGAAAGCAACCCAAAUAAAAUAAUGUUUAAUUUCACAAAAA